rnacentral:tRNA from 1 species
UGGUCGGGGCUCGUUCUGUCGGGCAAUCCGUACGACGGCCACACGCUGGCCGAGGCCUUGGAACAGGCCGCGAUCCUGAGGAUGUGCAGCCGGAGAUUGCCAUCGUUGACCGCGACUACAAAGGCGUUGCGGUGCAGGCGUGAUGAUCUAUCACCCGGGCUGCGGCGCGGUAUCACACGCGGGUUGCGCGCAAUGGUCCGAAGGCGUAGUGCGAUCGAGCCUACCAUCGGGCACAUGAAAGCGGAUGGCAAGCUCGACCGGAACUGGCUAAAGGGUGCGCGCGGCGACGCAAUUCACGCGGUGCUGUGCCGUGCAGGCCACAAUCUGCGCAUGAUCCUCCGGAAACUGCGGCUUUUUACGUCCUUGUUCUCGUCGCUUUGCUGAGUCGCCUGGUUGGGGAGUUACUUGCGGCAUGAGUGCCGGCGGCGCCUUAAUAGGAUUAUUCAGGGCCGACUAAGUAGCAAUCGUCUGUUUCCAUAUUCUCAACAAUCGACUUUAAGACUCCGCCUGUCGCUUUCACGUGACUUUUCAUGUCGCGUUCACGCAACGUCGAUCGGUUGACACUUCCCGUUUUACGACUUCAUUCGCCAUUAAGCCUUUGUAUAUAAAGGAGAAUACGCAUUUUCAAGAUCAUUGCUGAUUGAAGAAUGAUUUAUUGCGGAAAUCGGAACCUCGCGGCUGUAACACCAUCUUUACACUUCAUCUGGCCAGGAAACAAAUGUGUCGCAUCCCCAGACACAUUGCUUUCGCGUCAGCGUCUUUCGCAGCGUGUCGCGGCGGGAUUUCCUCAAAGCCUGGGUCAACGGCCCAUACUGCUCUCGGAGUUUCAAAGAUGAAAAAGACUCUCAUGGUCGCUGCCCUGACGGGCGUUUUUGCUACCGCCGCUCACGCGCAAAGCAGCGUCACGCUGUACGGCCUGAUCGACGCCGGCAUUACCUACACGAACAACCAGGGCGGCCACAGCAACUGGAAAGAGACGAGCGGCUCGGUCAACGGCAGCCGUUGGGGCUUACGCGGCGCUGAGGACCUCGGUGGCGGCCUGAAGGCGAUCUUCACGUUGGAAAACGGCUUCAGCAUUGCGAACGGCACGCUGGGUCAAAAUGGCCGUGAGUUCGGCCGUCAGGCUUUCGUUGGUCUGUCGAGCGACCAGUUUGGUUCGAUCACCCUCGGCCGUCAAUAUGACUCCGUGGUCGACUUCCUCGGACCUCUGGCUCUGACGGGCACGCAAUACGGCGGCACGCAGUUCGCCCACCCGUUCGACAACGACAACCUCGACAACACCUUCCGCGUCAACAACUCGGUGAAGUACACGAGCGCGAACUACGACGGCUUCAAGGUGGGCGCGCAAUACGGCUUCUCGAAUGAAGCGGGCGGCUUCUCGGAUAACCGCGAAUACAGUGUCGGCGCAUCAUACAACUACGGUCCGUUGAACGUCGCGGGCGCUUACCUGCAACUGAACAACGGCGGCUCGCUGAACACUGCCGGCGCGAUCAACGGUGACAACCCUUUCCUGGCAGGCCAUCAGCGUAUCUUCGGCGGCGGCAUCAGCUACGCGUUCGGCCCGGCGACGGUCGGCUUCAUCUUCACGCAGACGAUGCUGGACAAUGCCACGGCGAUCACCAACCCGGGCACGCAAGGCGCUGGCGCGUUGGCGCUGUCGGACGGCCACGUGCGCUUUACGAACUAUGAAGUCAACGGUCGUUACAACCUGACGCCCGCUCUGUCGCUCGCCGCGAACUACACGUAUACCGACAGCCGUAUCGACGGUGUGAAGCCGAAGUUCCACCAGGUCGACCUACAAACGGCAUACGCGCUGUCCAAGCGUACCGAUGUCUACCUGCAGGGCGAGUACCAGCACGUGACGGGUACGGACGGCACGGCGGGCGGCGCGACGAUCAACGGCGUGGGUGUGUCGUCGACGUCGAACCAGGUCUCGGCAACGGUCGGCGUGCGUCACCGUUUCUAAGGACAGACGCUUCACCGCAAGCUAUAACGCAGACGAAAAAGCCGCUCUUCGGAGCGGCUUUUUCGUCUGGAGACAGGCACAAGGCUCAGCGCGGAUAUCGAUCGAGAAUAUCGAUCUGCUGGAUGCCUACGGGCGUAUGCAGCGACACCGUAUCGCCGAUCUUCGCCUUCAGCAGUGUGCGCGCCACAGGCGAGAUACAGCUCACGUAACCACGAUCCAGAUCCAGAUCCGCUUCGUUCACGCCUACCGCCUACCAAUGGUCACCGUCUUCACGUCGCCCUCGUCGCCCCCAUAAUCGACGGUCGCGCCGAAAAAUACCUGAUCGACGUUCUCCCGUUUGGUGCUGUUCACCACUUCCGCCUUGUCCAGCCGCUUGCUCAGAAAGCGGAUCCUGCAGUCGAUCUCGCGCCGACGCUGCUUGCCAUAGAUGUAGUCGCCAUUCUCCGAGCGAUCGCCGUUGGACGCCGCCCACGAGACCAGUUUGACCACUUCCGGACGCUCGGUAUCGAGCAGUUGUAGCAACUCGUCGCGCAGGCACUGGUGGCCGGCAGGCCUGAUGUAGUUCUUCGGCCCCACGGGAACAUCGGGCUGGCCGAGAUCGAGGUCGUUUCGCUUUCGUCCGACUCUUUGACAAAUGCCUUGUUCAUGAUGCGAAUCGCUUAUCGUGGAUAUUUGCUCUGAAACUAACAAUUUACCAUGACGCGCACAUGUCGCGCCGGCGCUCGCUCGACGAUUUAAGCAAUAAUCCUUCCCUUUUCCAUAACCCUCGUUAUAAUUAAUACUUAUGCGUGCGGCUGUAGCUCAGUUGGAUAGAGUACUUGGCUACGAACCAAGGGGUCGUGGGUUCGAAUCCUGCCAGCCGCGCCAUUUUUUCGAAGGGCCUUCUAGAAGACAGAAGGCCCUUUUUAUUUUCCCGCUUUCCCGACGCCGCGUUGAAACUGCCUCACACGCACGCGCGGAUUGGAACCGAUAAUAUGCAUGUUCGCGAUGGCAUAUCCUCCACCGAUGUCACCGCGCUCGACUCCUCGAUCGCAUCGGCGCGCAGGCCGGUCAGCGCCUGCGGGCGGCGCAGUAUCUCGUCGUCCACGGUUUUUUGCCGAACGCCUGGCGCACAAACGCCCUGAGCAGAGCGAUACGCAGCGGUGGCCCGCUCCCCUCCAUUGUCUUCCCAUCUUUGCCGAAGCUCACGCUGCACGUGACCUCGCCGCGCUCGUGGUUGGUCAUCUCAAGAUUGCGGGCGCGCUCCAGCAGCACGACGGCAGCAGCUUCCCACGAAGACGAAGGCAAAAAGCGCCCAUCCCACGGCUGCCCACGGUCGUUGCCACGAAUGGAGAGCGUCUCGCCGCUGUCGGUGAAGUGGAUUUCGCGGAUGAAGUCGUACAGCGCACGCGCGACCUAGUAGUCCAGC